CUUUUACAAUGAAGAGUUUGAUCCUGGCUCAGGAUGAACGCUAGCUACAGGCUUAACACAUGCAAGUCGAGGGGCAUCAGGAAGAAAGCUUGCUUUCUUUGCUGGCGACC
rnacentral:rRNA from 1 species